rnacentral:lncRNA from 1 species
AUUUGGUUUACAUAACAUUUUUUGUCUUUUAUUUUUAUUGCAUAAGGUAAGAGAAUGUUUAUUUGUCACGUUUAACAAAUUAUAUCUGUUUGGUUUGGUCACACAUAUUUUGUAAAGUUAACAACAUAAGACUGUCAUAGGAGUGGAAAGUUUUGCCAUCUAUAAAAACCAGUUUACUCACCAUAUUCUUCAAAACAAUGCAUAUACCAAGUUCGGAACAUGACGUUUGUUUUCAAGUCAUGUUGUCAGUUGGUAACAACGAGAGAUUGUAUUUUAUUAGUAUUUAAAAAAAGUUCCCUUUUUAAAUUAACAUUGGAGUUUGGUAAUUUAACUAUUUCAUUUUCCAUUACUUUUUCUACUUUUUAUUUGAUUCUGUUAAGGAGUUCAUAUAUUCUUUUUUAACUGUUUGUUUUAUCAUAGAGAACCAGUUUAUGAUUUCCGUACUGACAAAGCUUUUUCUUGUAAUAGUGUACAUCCGGUUCCUUAUUGACCAAAUAAAGGCAACAGUAGUAUAAAGCUGUUCAAAAGUCAUAAAUCGAUCGAGAGAAAACAAAUCCGGGUUACAAAUUAAAACUGAGGAAACACAUCAACUAUAAGAGGAAAAUAACGAAACAACAGAAACACUGAAGUGCAACAAAAACAAACGACAAUGCAACAUGUAUAGAAACGAACUAUAAGAUAACAACUGCAAUAUUCCUGACUUGGUACAGAACAUUUUAAGAAAAAAAAUGAGGGUUGAACCUGGUUUUGUGGCUAGCUAAACCUCGCGAUUCAUGGCAAUGUGACAUAUACCGCUAAAAUGACCGAAUAAAUGAAAAAGAUGAAGCCAAAACUUUAAAAGUUACAAAGCAAAAAAAUGCAAAGGGUGUCGUAACUGCAGUGCCAUCUUAAGACAUAUACCUGAUUGAAAUGUGCAAUUUUUUAUUGCCCAUCAGCUGGAGCACAAUUGCACGCUCAAUAACCGAUGAGCAAUGAACCAUUUAUUUAAAAAAAAUCUGCUUCCAUCCAUGUCAGGAACACUGUACUGAGUCUUUUAGUGUUCUUCUAAAUAAGUUAAGUUAAGUAAACACCCUAAAAGUCCCCUUAAUGCAACCGUCUCUUAAAUUUCUAUGGUUGUUCAUCAGUAGAUUCGUUAUGAGUUAUCAAAGACCAAGUUGAUGGACUACGAGUUUUGAUAGACAGAUAAUUGAGUUUGCUUUAUGUGUUUCCAUACUUUUGAUUAUUCAAGUAUUAUAUUUCAAAUAAAAAGUAGAAAUAUUCUUCUAUUGAUUUAACUAUACUUUCUUGUACAUAAAAAUGAAUAGUAUGGACGCUGAAUGUGUCAGUGUAAGAUUUAUUUGUAUCACUCGAGCUGAUAAAACUUAAUUGACUGAAUUGACCUAGAUAAUCUUUUAGUGAAGAUUCACUCUACCUUAUAUAAAACCAAGUGUGCCUGUACAGAUGGUAUUAAUAAGCAAGAUGGUUUCAAAAUGUACAAUUGUAGUGCUUUAAAAUCUGAAAGAUGUAAGAUUUUCGGUUCAUAAUAAGUCUGUGAUUAUGUAGUAUAUAUUUUUUAGGAUGGUCUGUGUCUUCACGUUCUUUUAAUCCUUGCUAAAAUUAAAAAUCGAUAGAUGUUUUCUAGUAAGGUUUGUUUUAAAAAAUAGAAAUUUUCAAUAAUACAACAUGCUUCUUAUUUUAUGUUAACGUUGUUCUUUAAUCAAUAUGGUAAUACAUGAAAAGUUAAUUUCCAUGAUUUACAAAACAAUGGAUACCGCAAACUUUCACUAUGGCCGAUGAAGCCCCCAACAAGUUUUAAAUGACUUGUAACAUUUCAUUCAAUAUGUUCAAUGGAAACUCGAUAUUCUACAAUGACUAUUUUUUUUUGUGUGUACCGGCUUUUUGUUACUCUGCUGUCAGGUGUGUGAUGUAUAUGGCUAAUGAAAUAGUUCAAAACCUUUUCUCGACGAGGAUCCGGAGCCCCACACUCUUAUAUGAGCAGUAAAGGAAAUUGAACUUCAAUCUUGAAAAUAGAGAUAUAAAUCAGACGUUGCUACAGCGACAGCUUAAGAAAUAACCACACAUGAUACUACAAUCAGAACUCGACAUAAUAUUUAUGAUUCUGCUGUAAAUGUUGAAGCUACAAUAACCCCCGUCACAAAAUUUAAAAAAGGGGCAAAGUAUCUUUGCUGUAAUAAUAUAAAUAUAUCUCUAGUUUGAAGUCCAAAUUAUUAAUGAAUACUGUAAACUAAUUAUUCAAAUAUACGAAUUACAAUAGCAGUGUACCAUCAGGUCAUAACUGCUUGGGGAUAAAACUCAUUAUAAGUUAUGUGACAUGCACCUGACCCCGUACGGAUCAAUAGAGGUUGAGAAAAUUCCAUAGGACCGACGGCCGAAGAUCCUAUAAACUUUACAUGUCCUCUAUGGAUUCAUAGGUGCGCAGCAGUGAACCGUAUAACGAAUUUACCGCACACGGGACGUUUCCUGCUAAGUUUGUAUAUAAAGAAUCACAAAGUUACUGAGGAAGUUCAAUAAAAGUGUAUAAGAGUUCAAAAUUUAUGAAAAAAGAAUGUACAUGGAAGAAUCGCAUCAGUUAUAUUUUAGAUCAACAUAUGUGUGCUGACCACUGCAAGACGACACCCACGGGAACGAAAGGUUCCAAAGCAGUUACAACGAUUCUAUUGUAGUAAAAAACAGAUGUAUCUUAGUCCUUCAAAUGACCGUAUCUUUUGCACCAAAUACAAUUGAUCAGUAACGUUUGAAAGUUUAAAAUUUAAAAGCGCCUUUAAUGGAGUGGCAGUAUAUAUCAUUGGAAUAUAUUUUGAUAGUAGAUCUAUAUUUGAUUUCAGUACCAAUUACUAAAGGCUUAUACCUUCAUACUAAAUGAGCUGUUCAAGGAUUAUCGGGUCCAUACAAGACCUUUUUAGGCAAUUACUAGGAUGUGUUGUACGUAUAUGGGCAGUUGAAGACGCUGAUAAAAUCUACUUAUUAAGUACAUAUAUUGUUUCAAAUUUCUGAACAACAAUGUUUUAACGUGACUGUAGUACUAUUAGUCAAUUCAUUUAUUUUAGGUGUUAAAGCUCAUUGAUGAUUUUUUUUACCAAUAUCAUUGUUUUAUCGAAUAUUCCGAAGGUUUUUUUUUUAGAAUGUCAGAUAAAUCGUAAACCAACUCCUUAUAUAAUGUAUUACCUUUAAAUGACGAUUUUCCUCAGUUUUAAAUGCUUUUAUAACAACGUUUUGUCUUUGUCAGAUUAAUAUGUAUGUUUGUUUUCAUGUUUUAGUAAUUUGUGUUGUACGUCAGUGGUGUCUAUUUACAAAGUUUUUGGUAUUGGAUCUCUACUAUAGUCUAUGUAUGUUUGUCAAUAAAACGGAACUAUAAAACAAUUUUUACACAAGUGGCAGGUUUAGCUAGGUAUAAAAACAGGUUUAAACCAAUAUAAUUUUCAGAAAAUGUAUGUAUGAAGAUGGAAAUAUAACACUCGUGUUUCUUUUUUUUCUAUUGAUUAAUGUAGUAAGUUUUAUAUGGACCCCCCUUUACAAGUUACAAGAAUAACUAUGACAAGAGAUUCCUGACUUGAGACAGACGCAAAAAUGUGACGGGUUGAACAUGUUUUCUGAAAUUUCAACCCUCUCUCUAUAAUUCUAGCCAAUGUAGAAUAAACAAACACAGCAAAAUGCACAGUCAAUUCAAAAAGAAGUCCGAGUCCGAUGUUAGAAUAGGUAAGAGAAUAACUAAGCAAAAUGAAAAUGAUACAUAAAUUAACAAAGGAUUAUUAGAAGUUACUUACUUGUCUGUAAGAGACCUGAUUAAAAGGAUUUUCAUGAUUUGACAUACAUGUUCAGCAGACUUUACAGUCUCCAUCUUCAAAUAAAAAAAAAUAGUCCCAAAUACAUAAUCUGUUUUUAUUACAAAUGCAUGCAAAGCCCAACUCAGCCAUUGCUUCCAUUUUUAAAAUAAUUUCAUUUUGAAGAUUUAUUGAACUGAUAUUGACCUUUAUUAGUAUGUGAUUAUGUCAUUUAUGGGGAACCACUAGUGGUAGGUCAGUGAUACUUUAAUGCAGUUGUAUAAUCAUUGGCACAACUCCUAUUCGUAUUGAUUAUUUUGCCCCGCCCCGUCGGUUAUGGUCAAUUGACUCCGAAACAUUUUCUUAGUUUGCAUGCAUUAAUUUGUGAAAAAAUAAGGAAACACUCUUGGUGGUAAAUUACGUUUGGUAGGCAGUCGUAUUUUCACAUGACCAUCAAGACGACUUAUAAUUUAUUAAGGUAAACAUUUUUUUAAUUUGUAAAUUUUGAGCAAAUAUUAAUAUAUAAGCUACAUCAAACUGAUUGUUGAUUUAUAUUUUUUACAGUAUCCACUCCAAACACUAACUUAUAAUCGAACUUUAGUGUAAAAUUGAGGAAAAAGAAGGAUUGUCUUUCAAAUGUACCCUUCAUUUUUGAAGGACUUACGAUAGAAAACCAAAGGGAGAACUAAAAAAGACAAAAUGAAAUCAUUUUAUGAUGACAACAAAGGGCAUUUAAAUCAUUCUGUGAUACCUAGAAGCAUGUUUGAAAUUCGAAGGAAGACUUAUCAAGGAAGAUAAUAUAUGGACUACAACAACCAAUUAUACCAAAGGAAUAUGAAGAAACUUUAUUUUUUUUUUAUUGAAAAAA